GACGAACGCUGGCGGCGUGCUUAACACAUGCAAGUCGAACGGUGAAGCGCUUGCCUUUUUGGUGGGUGUAGAUGAGUGGCGAACGGGUGAGUAACACGUGAGUAACCUGCCCUCUUCUUCUGGAUAACCUCAUGAAAGUGGGGCUAAUACGGGGUAUUCCGGGUCUGUCGCAUGGCGGGUUUGGGAAAGAUUGCGCCUUUGGGUGUUUUCGGUGGGGGAUGGGCUCGCGGCCUAUCAGCUUGUUGGUGGGGUGAUGGCCUACCAAGGCGGUGACGGGUAGCCGGCCUGAGAGGGUGGACGGCCACACUGGGACUGAGACACGGCCCAGACUCCUGCGGGAGGCAGCAGUGGGGAAUAUUGCACAAUGGGCGCAAGCCUGAUGCAGCGACGCCGCGUGAGGGAUGGAGGCCUUCGGGUUGUGAACCUCUUUCGCCAGUGAAGCAGGCCUGCUCCUGUGUGGGUGGGUUGACGGUAGCUGGAUAAGAAGCGCCGGCUAACUACGUG
rnacentral:rRNA from 1 species